CUGACAGCCAUCAAGAAAACAAGGAUUUCAGCCCUAUGGUUGCAAGGAGCUGAAUUCUGCCAACAACAAGAAUGAGUUUGAAAGCAGAUUUUCUCUUUGUUGUCUCCAGCUGAGCACUUAGCCUGGUCAACACCUUAAUUUCAGCUUUGUGGUACCUUGCACAGAGAACACAUCAAGACGUGAAAGACUUCUGUUCUACAAAAUUGCCCUCUGUCAGAGGAAGACUCAGUGAAUUUAUUUUCCACCUGGUCACAUUUCAUAGACUGUGACAGCCAGUGGCUGCUAUGACCACAGCCCACAAAUCCAUUCUGAAAAUAUGUGGUGGACACUUUUCAAGUAAUAGGUGCCUGGAAUGUAUGCAGAUAUGUUUCACAGAAAUGCUAAGUCCUUAAUCAAUACAACAAAAUAUUUCCAGCUUCCCCAGCGUGAUAAAUCUAGCAAUCAAUUACUCUGCCAUAGUAUACGCCUGGUACAAGCAGGAUGAAAAAUAUUAUUGAAAAAUUCUACCUCUUGAUUAACUACUGAUGAAAGUUCUCAGAAUUAAAAUGAUAUUUCUUAAUUUACUCUUUUUCAAAAUUGGAAACCAAAUACACCAAACUAUUAUAUUCUAUAGAUCAUAUUCCACAAGGUCAUGAAACCUUCCAAGCAUAAAAAGGAAAAUCAUCAGCCACCAGAAACAAAACAAAAAAAAUAGGUAAAUAAAACCACCUUCAAUUUCUAUUCCUAAGAAUUCCAAGCUGUUUUCAUAUAGAAAAUUAUGUUAUUUUGAAAGCAGUAAUGAAUUUGAAAACAUCUCAUGCUCCAGAAGCCUAAUUUUAGAUCUAUUAUGGAAUUCUGCAUUCUACAAACAACGCCCUAUUA